CGUGUGCUUACAAGUAGUCAGAGCCCGUUAAUGGGUGAUGGCGUGCCUUUUGUAGAAUGAACCGGCGAGUUACGAUUUGAUGCAAGGUUAAGCAGUAAAUGUGGAGCCGUAGCGAAAGCGAGUCUGAAUAGGGCGUUUAGUAUUUGGUCGUAGACCCGAAACCAGGUGAUCUACCCUUGGUCAGGUUGAAGUUCAGGUAACACUGAAUGGAGGACCGAACCGACUUACGUUGAAAAGUGAGCGGAUGAACUGAGGGUAGCGGAGAAAUUCCAAUCGAACCUGGAGAUAGCUGGUUCUCUCCGAAAUAGCUUUAGGGCUAGCCUCAAGUGAUGAUUAUUGGAGGUAGAGCACUGUUUGGACGAGGGGCCCCUCUCGGGUUACCGAAUUCAGACAAACUCCGAAUGCCAAUUAAUUUAACUUGGGAGUCAGAACAUGGGUGAUAAGGUCCGUGUUCGAAAGGGAAACAGCCCAGACCACCAGCUAAGGUCCCAAAAUAUAUGUUAAGUGGAAAAGGAUGUGGCGUUGCCCAGACAACUAGGAUGUUGGCUUAGAAGCAGCCAUCAUUUAAAGAGUGCGUAAUAGCUCACUAGUCGAGUGACACUGCGCCGAAAAUGUACCGGGGCUAAACAUAUUACCGAAGCUGUGGAUUGUCCUUUGGACAAUGGUAGGAGAGCGUUCUAAGGGCGUUGAAGCAUGAUCGU
rnacentral:rRNA from 1 species